GACGAACGCUGGCGGCGUGCUUAACACAUGCAAGUCGAACGGAAAGGCCCUUCUUUUGUGGGGUUCUCGAGUGGCGAACGGGUGUGUAACACGUGUGUAACCUGCCCUUGACUUUGGGAUAACUUCAGGUAACUGGGGCUAAUACCGGAUAGGAUCUCCUGCUGCAUGUUGGGGUUUGGAAAGUUUCGGCGGUUGGGGAUGGACUCGCGGGUUAUCAGCUUGUUGGUGGGGUAGUGGCUUACCAAGCCUUUGACGGGUAGCCGGCCUGAGAGGGUUACCGGGAACAAUGGGACUGAGAGACGGAGCAGAAGACAACGGGAGGCAGAAGGGGGGAAUAGUGCAAAAUGGGGGGAAGACUGAUGCAGAAAAGCCGCGGGCGGGAUGAAGGGCUACGGGUUGAAAAACGAAUUAGAAUGAGACGAAGAGAGAGUGACGGUAAUGGGUAAAGAAGCACCGGCUAACUACGUG
rnacentral:rRNA from 1 species